GGCUAGUCCAAGUGUAGUGGUAUUUACAAUUAAUUGAUCACAGCCAGUUACAGAUUCUUUUUGUUCCAUCUGCACUCCCACAGCUUCACUUGACUAGCCUUUU
rnacentral:Y_RNA from 1 species